UCACAAAGGGGUUGCUUGUGUUUAUUACCAAAUGCUUAGUUUGGUGUGUUGUCUUGUCAUAUCCUGAUUGAUUAAACUUAAAGUUCGUUUGGGCUUAAGUUUGUUCGUACUUGAAUUAUUGUAAUCGAAAAUGUGCAAGUGUUUAGCAGGGAACGUAGCAUGCUGCUGCUUUACCUGUGCGCUAAAUGUUUUAAUUUCAAUUAUAAGCGCAUUUUUUGUGGUCUUCCUAGUCGUCGGCAUAUUGGUCUACUUUAUUUAUUACCAUGAGAACGAAGAUGACACAGCCAACAAAAUAAAAGAUGAGAUAAGAGACGGUUUGGAAAGUGGAUUGGACAAAAUUAAAGGCACAUUUUCAAACUAAUAGAAUUUACCGGCAUAUGAUGUACUAGAUGAAAACUAAAACUAAGGAGUUACUACAUGCUAGAAUAUAAUAGAUAUUAUAUUCUUAUACGCUGAACAUGAUACACAUGUAUUGGAAUAAAGUGCAUUUAAUAUAUAUGUAUAUAUAUACGUGUUCCUUUGUAAUACAAAUUUAUAUUUGAUUGUAUUUACCACUAUUUAAACAAUAUUAACUAUCAAUUUUAUCGAAUAUAAAUUUUUAAUAAAAAAUAAUCUAUUUUAUGUAUGUAUAAAUACAAACAACAUUAAAUCAAAACAA